rnacentral:lncRNA from 1 species
AUGAAGUUUAUAAAUUGUUGUAGAAUGAAUUUUCUAAAAGGUUUUAUGACUGGAGGAAAUUUUGGCAAGGUAUCACAAGUCUUUUUCUGUUGGUACCGUGGUGACAGGACAAUUUUUAGCCCUCCCUCUGUUUUCCUUAGUCCGUUAUUUUUUGUUUUCUGUUUUCCUGUAUACUAUGAUAAAAUUGAGAAUGGAAAUGGGGACCAUAAAUAUACUAAAAACGAAGUGUCAAUUCAAAGUUUACUUACUAUCCACGGCAGUCAUUGAUAUAUUAUACACGUCGCAGAGCAAAAACGAAUUCAAAGAAUAGUUAUCAAAGGUCCAGGAUUAUAAUUUAGUACGCCAGACGUCCGUUUCGGCUACAUAAGACUCAUCAGUGACGCUCAUCAAAAUAGUUAUCAAGCCAAAC